rnacentral:rRNA from 1 species
GACGAACGCUGGCGGCGUGCUUAACACAUGCAAGUCGAACGGAAAGGCCCUGCUUUUGUGGGGUGCUCGAGUGGCGAACGGGUGAGUAACACGUGAGUAACCUGCCCUUGACUUUGGGAUAACUUCAGGAAACUGGGGCUAAUACCGGAUAGGAGCUCCUGCUGCAUGGUGGGGGUUGGAAAGUUUCGGCGGUUGGGGAUGGACUCGCGGCUUAUCAGCUUGUUGGUGGGGUAGUGGCUUACCAAGGCUUUGACGGGUAGCCGGCCUGAGAGGGUGACCGGCCACAUUGGGACUGAGAUACGGCCCAGACUCCUACGGGAGGCAGCAGUGGGGAAUAUUGCACAAUGGGCGGAAGCCUGAUGCAGCAACGCCGCGUGCGGGAUGACGGCCUUCGGGUUGUAAACCGCUUUCGCCUGUGACGAAGCGUGAGUGACGGUAAUGGGUAAAGAAGCACCGGCUAACUACGUGCCAGCAGCCGCGGUGAUACGUAGGGUGCGAGCGUUGUCCGGAUUUAUUGGGCGUAAAGGGCUCGUAGGUGGUUGAUCGCGUCGGAAGUGUAAUCUUGGGGCUUAACCCUGAGCGUGCUUUCGAUACGGGUUGACUUGAGGAAGGUAGGGGAGAAUGGAAUUCCUGGUGGAGCGGUGGAAUGCGCAGAUAACAGGAGGAACACCAGUGGCGAAGGCGGUUCUCUGGGCCUUUCCUGACGCUGAGGAGCGAAAGCGUGGGGAGCGAACAGGCUUAGGUACCCUGGUAGUCCACGCUGUAAACGGUGGGUACUAGGUGUGGGGUCCAUUCCACGGGUUCCGUGCCGUAGCUAACGCUUUAAGUACCCCGCCUGGGGAGUACGGCCGCAAGGCUAAAACUCAAAGGAAUUGACGGGGCCCCGCACAAGCGGCGGAGCAUGCGGAUUAAUUCGAUGCAACGCGUAGAACCUUACCUGGGUUUGACAUGGAUCGGGAGUGCUCAGAGAUGGGUGUGCCUCUUUUGGGGUCGGUUCACAGGUGGUGCAUGGCUGUCGUCAGCUCGUGUCGUGAGAUGUUGGGUUAAGUCCCGCAACGAGCGCAACCCUUGUUCACUGUUGCCAGCACGUUAUGGUGGGGACUCAGUGGAGACCGCCGGGGUCAACUCGGAGGAAGGUGGGGAUGACGUCAAGUCAUCAUGCCCCUUAUGUCCAGGGCUUCACGCAUGCUACAAUGGCUGGUACAGAGAGUGGCGAGCCUGUGAGGGUGAGCGAAUCUCGGAAAGCCGGUCUCAGUUCGGAUUGGGGUCUGCAACUCGACCUCAUGAAGUCGGAGUCGCUAGUAAUCGCAGAUCAGCAACGCUGCGGUGAAUACGUUCCCGGGGC